UACAGAGGUCUCAAGCGUUGUUCGGAUUCAUUGGGCGUAAAGGGUGCGUAGGUGGUGAUGCAAGUCUGGUGUGAAAUCUCGGAGCUCAACUCCGAAAUUGCACCGGAUACUGCGUGACUCGAGGACUGUAGAGGAGAUCGGAAUUCACGGUGUAGCAGUGAAAUGCGUAGAUAUCGUGAGGAAGACCAGUUGCGAAGGCGGAUCUCUGGGCAGUUCCUGACACUGAGGCACGAAGGCCAGGGGGAGCAAACGGG
rnacentral:rRNA from 1 species